UACAGAGGGUGCGAGCGUUGUCCGGAAUCACUGGGCGUAAAGGGCGCGUAGGCGGUUUAGCAAGUCUAUGGUGAAAGCUCGCCGCUCAACGGCGAGUCGGCCACGGAUACUGCUGAACUGGAGCACUGUAGAGGCAGGUGGAAUUCCGGGUGUAGCGGUGGAAUGCGUAGAGAUCCGGAAGAACACCGGUGGCGAAGGCGGCCUGCUGGGCAGUAGCUGACGCUGAGGCGCGACAGCGUGGGGAGCGAACAGG
rnacentral:rRNA from 1 species